GGGGAUCACCUCCCAGCCUAAGGUUGCUUUCUGAGGUCCGGGCUGGAACCUAUGUUCCUUUAAAUCUGCCCAGAUCACCGGGAAAUGCUGCCUUUGCUGGGUUUGCACGCUGAGCACCUGACACACCUGCUGCUGAGGCAGCGUGAGUCACCCGCACAGACACUGCUCACUGGACUCCAGUUCAGAGCUUGGCUGUCACGCACCCCGGAUGUCAUCCCCCACCUACCCCUCUGAAGGCAUGUCAGGACAGAUCAGGCUCUAACCCAAUGUCUACUCAACGGCUCACCCCCAGGGGAAGCACAGGGAAGGAUGGAGGGGGUACACAAGGAUGCGUCUCCCGUUCAUGGUCAAGGGUCUUCUCCCCUCUGUGUCCUGGAACAUCUCAUCUGCCCUGCUGGCCAUAAAUAGGGCGGAGGGGAUCCUGAACUGAAUUCUGGCCCCCACUUUGAGCAUCUCACUGUGGAUAUAUGAGGUGUCUGGCUCGCCUCUCUUCCCAAGCAGGUGCUCGUGGCACUGACACCCUGCACACCGUUCAAGAGAGAUCCGUGACAGCUUCCAGAAGUCUUAUUUGCAGGACGGACUUCUGGGUGAGAAACGGAUUGGCCCUGCCAGCAGGGCCGGAGAACCUUAAGACCUUCGAUAAAGCGACGCAGUCCAAUCAGAUCCUUUCCCCGGAAUCGCGGGGAAACUCACCUCCAGGGCCAAAGCGCUGGCAGUCCUGGGAUCCGCGGAGAUCGCGGGCGAAUUCGCUGGCCCGGGUUCCCCAGCGGCCGCAUUCCCGGGCCCAGGGACGGGCGCCGAGCACAUCAUGGACCCCGGCGAGCGCAUCCCGCCUCCUCGCGUUCAGAGAGCACCCAGCCCGGACGCAGCUCCUCGCCUCCUUUCUUCGCUGCUCAUCGCGCCCCGUGACCCCAGGGAACCCCGCCGGGAACCCCUCUGCUAAGCUCGUGAAAGCCCCUAGGGCAAAUCCGCUCUGAGCCUCGGUUUGCAGGUCCACGGGCCGGGGCGGGACGGGAUGGGCGCCCGCCGGGCAAGAGAGAUGCGGCAGGAAGCGCGGAGCGGC
rnacentral:lncRNA from 1 species